CAGGGAGACAUAACUGAUUAUGAUGUUUGAUAAAAAGUUCAAGCCAUAAUCACGUCACGUUAGGUCGAUCGGUACGUCAGGUUGAGAACUAUAUAAAUAAUGUGCGAUCAUUGGCUUUUUAGUUAUUAAUGUCAGUUCCUAUACUCGUGUAGGUCACACAUAACAAAACUUUCUUCUGGGCCAUUAGCUCAGGUGGUUAGAGCGCACCCCUGAUAAGGGUGAGGUCCCUGGUUCAAGUCCAGGAUGGCCCAUUCGUUGUUGGGGGUAUAGCUCAGUUGGUAGAGCGCCUGCUUUGCAAGCAGGAUGUCAGCGGUUCGAGUCCGCUUACCUCCACUGAUCCACUACCUGAUAACUCAAUUUAAGGAGAUUGAUAUUUGUUAAAUGUGAUUUAGAUGUUGUUCGACUGAUUGAACCUAGCUUCCUAUUACCCUUCAUUUCUUUAGGCUGAUAAGACGCUGGGCUCACUGUAUUUUUAAAAGUACAGUUAAGUUCAGUAGAACCUUGACAACUGCAUAUGUGAGUCUGGAAAGAAUUUAAAGCAUCUAAAUAGAUGCAUAAAUUCUAUUUGUUUUACUAAUAGAAUUUAUGUUCAAUUCUAAAUCAAGAGCCGAGAAUUUAUUUAUUUGUUUAUUACUUCUAUGGAUGGAAAAUUUUCAUUUAUAAAAGCCUAAUAAUCAUUAAAUAGAUUAAAUAAAU
rnacentral:tRNA from 1 species